CCUACGGGAGGCAGCAGUGGGGGAUAUUGCGCAAUGGAGGCAACUCUGACGCAGCGACGCCGCGUGGGUGAUGAAGGUCUUCGGAUCGUAAAGUUCUGUCAUCAGGGAUGAACACAAUGAGUGUUACCCAAUAGCAAACCGCUGCUAACUGCGUGGCAGCCGCCGCGGUAAUACGUAGGUGGGAAUAGGUAUCCGUAAUGGCUGGGCGGAGGGGGGGCGUAGGCGGUGUAGUAAGCUGGCGGUGAAAGCCCGGGGCACAACCUCGGAGCUACCGCCAAAACUACUAGACUGGAGUGCAGGAGGGGCAAGCGGAAUUCCUGGUGUAGCAGUGGAAUGCGUAGAUAUCAGGAGGAACAUCAGGGGCGAAGGCGACUUACUGGACUGCAACUGACGUUGAGGCACGAAAGCGUGGGGAGCAAACAGGAUUAGAUACCCGAGUAGUC
rnacentral:rRNA from 1 species